rnacentral:tRNA from 1 species
GUCAGGAUGGCCGAGCGGUCCAAGGCGCUGCGUUCAGGUCGCAGUCCGGUCUUCCGGGCGUAUGUUCGAAUCCCACUUCUGACA